rnacentral:rRNA from 1 species
UACGGGGGGAGCAAGCGUUGUUCGGAUUUACUGGGCGUAAAGGGCGCGUAGGCGGCCACCGCAAGUCGACUGUGAAAUCUCCGGGCUUAACCCGGAAAGGUCAGCCGAUACUGCGGGGCUAGAGUGCAGAAGGGGCAACCGGAAUUCUCGGUGUAGCGGUGAAAUGCGUAGAUAUCGAGAGGAACACCUGCGGCGAAGGCGGGUUGCUGGGCUGACACGUGACGCUGAGGCGCGAAAGCUAGGGGAGCGAACGGG